GGUAGCGUGUCCGAGCGGCCGAAGGAGCUCGCCUCGAAAGCGAGUGUCGGGUAACCCCUGACCGUGGGUUCAAAUCCCACCGCUACCGCCA
rnacentral:tRNA from 1 species